rnacentral:rRNA from 1 species
GGACCCGCACAAGCAGUGGAGCAUGUGGUUUAAUUCGACGCAACGCGAAGAACCUUACCAGCGUUUGACAUGGGAAGUGCCGGUUACAGAAUGGUAACCUUCAGUUCGGCUGGCUUCCACACAGGUGCUGCAUGGCUGUCGUCAGCUCGUGUCGUGAGAUGUUGGUUAAGUCCCGCAACGAGCGCAACCCUUAUCGUUAGUUACUAACAGUUCGGCUGAGGACUCUAGCGAAACUGCCGGUGAUAAGCCGGAGGAAGGUGGGGAUGACGUCAAGUCCUCAUGGCCCUUACACGCUGGGCUACACACGUGCUACAAUGGUAACUACAACGGGACGCAAUACCGCGAGGUG